UAGGGGCUCGAAGACGAUCAGAUACCGUCGUAGUCUUAACCGUAAACUAUGCCGACUAGGGAUCGGAGGGCGUUAUAAUAACCUCUCCGGCACCUUACGAGAAAUCAAAGUUUUUGGGUUCUGGGGGGAGUAUGGUUGCAAGGCUGAAACUUAAAGGAAUUGACGGAAGGGCACCACCAGGAGUGGAGCCUGCGGCUUAAUUUGACUCAACACGGGGAAACUCACCAGGUCCAGACACAAUAAGGAUUGACAGAUUGAGAGCUCUUUCUUGAUUUUGUGGGUGGUGGUGCAUGGCCGUUCUUAGUUGGUGGAGUGAUUUGUCUGCUUAAUUGCGAUAACGAACGAGACCUUAACCUACUAAAUAGUGGUGCUAGCAUUUGCUGGUUAUCCACUUCUUAGAGGGACUAUCGGUUUCAAGCCGAUGGAAGUUUGAGGCAAUAACAGGUCUGUGAUGCCCUUAGACGUUCUGGGCCGCACGCGCGCUACACUGACGGAGCCAGCGAGUCUAACCUUGGCCGAGAGGUCUUGGUAAUCUUGUGAAACUCCGUCGUGCUGGGGAUAGAGCAUUGUAAUUAUUGCUCUUCAACGAGGAAUUCCUAGUAAGCGCAAGUCAUCAGCUUGCGUUGAUUACGUCCCUGCCCUUUGUACACACCGCCCGUCGCUAGUACCGAUUGAAUGGCUUAGUGAGGCUUCCGGAUUGAUUAACUGGAGAGGGCAACUUUUCUGGUUGAACGAGAAGCUAGUCAAACUUGGUCAUUUAGAGGAAGUAAAAGUCGUAACAAGGUUUCCGUAGGUGAACCUGCGGAAG
rnacentral:rRNA from 1 species